rnacentral:snoRNA from 1 species
AUUGGGUUCUCGGAGAGAAUCUGCUAGUUUUGAUUCGCUGGUGGAUGCUGUUGGUGCCCAGGUCAGAAACAUGG